UACGUAGGGGGCAAGCGUUGUCCGGAUUUAUUGGGCGUAAAGAGCGUGUAGGCGGCCAUACAGGUCCGUUGUGAAAACUGGAGGCUUAACCUCCAGACGUCGAUGGAAACCGUAUGGCUAGAGUCCGGAAGAGGAGAGUGGAAUUCCUGGUGUAGCGGUGAAAUGCGCAGAUAUCAGGAGGAACACCGGUGGCGAAGGCGGAUCUCUGGGCCUUACCUGACGCUGAGGCGCGAAAGCUAGGGGAGCAAACAGG
rnacentral:rRNA from 1 species